GAUGAAGAACGUAGCGAAAUGCGAUAAGUAAUGUGAAUUGCAGAAUUCAGUGAAUCAUCGAAUCUUUGAACGCACAUUGCGCCCGCCAGUAUUCUGGCGGGCAUGCCUGUCCGAGCGUCAUUUCAACCCUCGAACCCCUCCGGGGGGUCGGCGUUGGGGAUCGGCCCUUUCACCGGGUGCCGGCCCCUAAAUACAGUGGCGGUCUCGCCGCAGCCUCUCAUGCGCAGUAGUUUGCACACUCGCACCGGGAGCGCGGCGCGUCCUCGUCCGUAAAACACCCCAACCUUCUGAAAUGUUGACCUCGGAUCAGGUAGGAAUACCCGCUGAACUUAAGCAUAUCAAUAAGCGGAGGA
rnacentral:misc_RNA from 1 species